AGAGUUUGAUCCUGGGCUCAGGAUGAACGCUAGCUACAGGCUUAACACAUGCAAGUCGAGGGGCAGCAUUAUCUUAGCUUGCUAAAGAUAGAUGGCGACCGGCGCACGGGUGAGGUAACACGUAUCCAACCUUCCGGUUACUCGGGGGACAGGCUUUCGAAAGAAAGAUUAAUACCCGAUGUUGCGUAUCUUUCUCCUGAAAGAUACGCCAAAGGAUUCCGGUAACCGAUGGGGAUGCGUUCCAUUAGGCAGUUGGCGGGGUAACGGCCCACCAAACCUUCGAUGGAUAGGGGUUCUGAGAGGAAGGUCCCCCACAUUGGAACUGAGACACGGUCCAAACUCCUACGGGAGGCAGCAGUGAGGAAUAUUGGUCAAUGGACGCAAGUCUGAACCAGCCAAGUAGCGUGAAGGAUGACUGCCCUCUGGGUUGUAAACUUCUUUUAUACGGGAAUAACAUGAGGUACGCGUACCUUAUUGCAUGUACCGUUAUGAAUAAGCAUCGGCUAACUCCGUGCCAGCAGCCGCGGUAAUACGGAGGAUGCGAGCGUUAUCCGGAUUUAUUGGGUUUAAAGGGAGCGUAGGUGGGAUAUUAAGUCAGCUGUGAAAGUUUGGGGCUCAACCUUAAAAUUGCAGUUGAUACUGGUUUCCUUGAGUACGGUACAGGUGGGCGGAAUUCGUGGUGUAGCGGUGAAAUGCUUAGAUAUCACGAAGAACUCCGAUCGCGAAGGCAGCUCACCGGGCCGGAACUGACACUGAUGCUCGAAAGUGCGGGUAUCAAACAGGAUUAGAUACCCCUGGUAGUCCGCACAGUAAACGAUGAAUACUCGCUGUUUGCGAUACACUGUAAGCGGCCAAGCGAAAGCGUUAAGUAUUCCACCUGGGGAGUACGCCCGGCAACGGUGAAACUCAAAGGAAUUGACGG
rnacentral:rRNA from 1 species